GCCUCGGUGGUAUAGUGGUAGAGCAUGCGUCUCUGGAUAGGAUGAAAAGCGGGUUCUAUUCCUGCCUGAGGCC